rnacentral:tRNA from 1 species
UUUAAUAUAGCAUAAGUAUAAUGCGAAGAGUUUAAGCCUCUUAGAUUUUAUUAAA